CUGACAAUGAGUCUAAUAGUUUGAAAAUAUGAAGUUGGAUAUGUUUUUGGCAUUGUCAUAUUUGGGUAACUGCAUUUGAAUGCAAAAAUUACUUUUUAUAUUAAUCACAUUAUUUAAAAUAAAAAUGACAUUUUCAUUGCUAAGUACCAAACUCUUGUAGGAAUUGACUUUGACACCUAGAAGUCCUGUAGUGAUUCAACCAGAAAAGAAAUAAAACCUGGGUAGACAGCCAGCCCCAUGAAAGAAUGAAAACUGUUUCCUAUUACCAUCAAGCCCCUAGACAGAAAGAGAAAGAAACGGAGAGGACAAUGUAGGAAAGGCAGCAAAAACAAGGAAAUUGAGGAAUUACUUAAAAAAAAAAAGCUGCGAGUCACUCCUACAGGACGCAACGCUCCCAGUUUCUCCCAGCCGCCAGCCUGGAGGGGCCAAAUGCCGCCGGAUCUGAUCCACAGAUUCUGCGCUCCCAAAAAUCGCGGAGGAAGACAGGGCUUUUCAAAAGGUAAUGAAUGUGAAAAGGAUGGAACCUACCAAGGAGAGGAAAAGACACCAGUUCUGAGUGCACAGUGGAGAUGCCACCCAAGACAUGGCCAGGAGCUGGCCAGGGAGACAGCCCUCGGGAGAAAGCAAGACAACUUUCUUAAUCUUCCAGCCUCCAGAACUGCAAGAACACAAAUCUCUCUG
rnacentral:lncRNA from 1 species